rnacentral:rRNA from 1 species
CCUACGGGAGGCUGCAGUGGGGAAUAUUGGACAAUGGGCGAAAGCCUGAUCCAGCCAUGCCGCGUGUGUGAAGAAGGCCUUCGGGUUGUAAAGCACUUUCAGUGGGGAAGAAAGCCUUGGGGCUAAUACCCUCGAGGAAGGACAUCACCCACAGAAGAAGCACCGGCUAACUCCGUGCCAGCAGCCGCGGUAAUACGGUGGGUGCGAGCGUUAAUCGGAAUUACUGGGCGUAAAGCGCGCGUAGGCGGUCUGAUAAGCCGGGUGUGAAAGCCCCGGGCUCAACCUGGGAACGGCAUCCGGAACUGUCAGGCUAGAGUGAAGGAGAGGAAGGUAGAACUCCCGGUGUAGCGGUGAAAUGCGUAGAGAUCGGGAGGAAUACCAGUGGCGAAGGCGGUCUUCUGGACUGACACUGACGCUGAGGUGCGAAAGCGUGGGUAGCAAACAGGAUUAGAUACCCGAGUAGUC